rnacentral:snRNA from 1 species
AUACUUAGCUGGUGCUGGGGCCUCGCUGAUCACGGAGGACGAGCCCCCAGGGCGAGGAGCGGGCAUUGCAGUGCGCUCACCCUGACUCCUGCAACUACCCUAAACUGGAGAAGACGGCGCAUGCAAAUUUCUGAAAUUGGGCUCAA